rnacentral:rRNA from 1 species
GAUGAACGCUGGCGGCGUGCCUAAUACAUGCAAGUCGAGCGCAGGAAGCUGACGGAACUCUUCGGAGGGAAGGCAGUGGAAUGAGCGGCGGACGGGUGAGUAACACGUAAGGAACCUGCCUCAAGGAUUGGGAUAACUCCGAGAAAUCGGAGCUAAUACCGGAUAGUUCAACGGACCGCAUGGUCCGCUGAUGAAAGGCGCUCCGGCGUCACCUUGAGAUGGCCUUGCGGUGCAUUAGCUAGUUGGUGGGGUAACGGCCCACCAAGGCGACGAUGCAUAGCCGACCUGAGAGGGUGAUCGGCCACACUGGGACUGAGGCAAGGCCCAGACUCCGACGGGAGGCAGCAGUAGGGAAUCUUCCACAUUGGACGAAAGUCUUAUGUGGCAACGCCGCGUGAGUGGUGAAGGUUUUCGGAUCGUAAAACUCUGUUGUAAGGGAAGAACACGUACGAGAGGGAAUGCUCGUACCUUGACGGUACCUUACGAGAAAGCCACGGCUAACUACGUGCCAGCAGCCGCCGUAACAC